UUGCAGUGCUGUGUGUCAAACCCCAGGGCCUCAUGCACGCUAGGACAGUGCUCUGCCACCGAGCUGUAUCCCCAGCCCUGGGCUGCAUUCCGGGACCACCGCAGGGCGGCAGGUGCAGAGCGCCCCCAGGCGGUGGGAAGUUUUCAGCUCCUUUGCAGUCUUAGGAACCGCCACUGUCCUGUGGCCCGCGGCGCACUGAAAUGUCAUCCCGUGGGGCCUGAGUGUAAUUCUCACGGCCCCAGCAACUGCUGAUCAAACUCGUGUUCCUGUCCAUGUUGCUGCUGCUCGCGUUUCCUACAGAGGGGAGCCAGAGUUGGGGUGAGCAGGGGCUGCUGGCCUGGGCUGCGAGUGUCAGGCAGUGCCCCAGCACUUCUGGAAGCCGAGGCAGGAGGACUGCAAGCUGGAGCCUGGCCUGGGCAAUGAAAAAGAAAAGGGAGGAAGGUGAGCACUGGGAAUGCAGCUCAGUGUAAAGAUCCUGGUUUCAAUCGCGGAACUGCGGGGGGGGGGGGUCACCAAAACAACAGCAGCACUCAGCUUCGGAAGUGUCAGAGCAACCUCGCGAAGCAGGGACUAUUGUCACCCCCAUUUACGGGAGAGGAAAUGGAGCCCUGAGACCUCAGGGGAGUGCAGGCAGCCAGUGCCCGGCAGGCUGGGAUUUGGGUGUGGGCAGAGCCGCGGUUCCAGCCACAUCCUUAGGGGAAACAGCGGGGGAGAGCCAGGGCACUGUCCCCUUCAUUUAACAGCACCACUGCCGACCCGCGGCCGCCGGCCCCUCUCCAGCCCGCCCCUGAUUCCCUGGACUUCUCGGACGCUUUCCCUCGCCGGUCUGCUUCCGCUGAAAUUUAACCCUCCCUGGAGGGCCCCGCCCGCUCCGCGAGCUUCUGAAAGGAGAGCUGUUUAUUUUCUUCUAGGUGAGGGCCCGCAGCACUCGGCUCCUGUUUGCCGCCUCCAGACACCUCCUCCCCCUGCCACCCCCAAUUUCUGCUUAAAACAGCCUUCUGUCCCAGGCUAGCCUUUUGUUUUUGAAACACAGAUCGCUCUAGGUAGUCCAAGCUGAUGUUGAACCCGCAAUCCUCCUGCCUCAGCCUCCCCUGCUGCCUUCUGCUGGGAUGACAGGUGUGUGCCUGCAACAGCAGUUUAUGUUAUACUGGACUUGUCCCUGCUGGUUGCUGUCACCUGCCACCUGCCAGCCCUCUCUUCCCAGCGCCGGGGACGCUAGCUCGGCUGCCUGUAUCUUCCCAUUGAGUCUCUCAGCUGGGCAGCCUCACGGUCUGCGCAGAGGGCAGUUUGUCUCCCUGGCCUCUCACCAUGUGGCGGCUUUGUCCCCAAGGACCUGCUCCACUCCAGCCGAACCACAUCCCUGAUCUCAGCCCAGGAAGGAGGUCCCACGAUCAGUUUCUCCAGGACUUCACUCUGGCAGCUGGGAGUGUUGGGGGAUCUCACAACCAGGAGGCGGCCGCCCCUGUUCACUGGGGGCCCUCAGUGCUAAGCAGACACCGGCAUCGCUGACGGGGCCCUGACCUCGGCAUCUGCGAGGCACUGUGCUCCGCUCUCAGCGGGAGAUUUCAUUCUUCCAUCACAACCGAAGCCAUCAGAGGGGAGUCCCAGGUCACCUGCUGCCCUGCACUCCUCCACGCCUGUGGCCAUCCUGCUCCUAUAACCAUUUCCAUGCACUCAACCUCUAUGGCCAAGACAGAGGACAGCCUGCCUGCUGCUCCAACUGGCAGCAGAUCUUGGCAUCAUCCAUGUGGCGCUAGUUUUAGGUGCAUGCAGAAUGCAAGAGUUCUGGGAUUGGGAAACUUCCACCCAAAUUUUAGAAGAAGCCUGGGAGGUUUGGCAAUGAGCUUCUGAGAAGACAGUGUGUGAAGCUGUGAGUGUGAAGCCAGAGGUGCAGUGGAGAUCCCAGAAGUCUGGAGAAGGCAGGAGCGUGGGUCCUCUGUGUAAAAAUGCAAGCCGGCUCAAGAGAGAGGCCAUGAGAGCUACAACCACCUGCAGAGCGGUAGGGGUGGAGCUGCCCAAGCUCUUUGGAGUUCACAUCUUGCCACAGAUUGCCUCAGAUACCGCACAGGUUUUAAUGUUUGCCCUGCUGGAUUUUGGACUUGUUUUGAUCCCAUUCCUUUGUAUCCUCUUUGUAUCCCCGUUUGCACUUUUGGAAUGGGAGUGUUUAUCCUGUGCCAUUGAAUGUCGGAAUCUAUCUUUCAUUGUAUGGGGCCUUGCAGCUAAGAGUUUGCCUUAAAUUUCAGAAGAGAUUGGGACUUGGACUUUUCAGCAAGGCUGACUUUGCCAGCUCUUCAACACGGACUGAAUGCCUUUUGCACAAACGGAGUACUUGAAUCUUUGAGGGGCUGGGGAUAUAACAUUAUGGUUUGUUUCUAGAUGUCCCCCCAAAACCCUCAUGUGGUCACAGGCGGGGCUUUUCCAGAGGAUCUGGAGUCUAUGACAUUUGUAGUGUAAUGCUAGGAUUAAGGUGUGAGUGCUAGCUGCUCUAAGGAGGGGAUCAGGGGUACAAUAGCAGGGACCGAAAGAGGCUUGUUGCUGGAUACUUGUAGUUUGUUGCUUGCUGUCUUUUGCCUGCCAUGAUCUGUUUCUCUUUUGCAACGCCUCUCUGCCAUCCCACCCUGCCUUGGAGCCAACUGCGUAUGGACUGAAACCUCUACAAACUGUGAACUAAAAUAAACUUUUCCUUUUUAA